UACGUAGGUGGCAAGCGUUGUCCGGAAUUAUUGGGCGUAAAGCGCGCGCAGGCGGUCCUUUAAGUCCGUUGUGAAAGCCCUGGGCUCAACCUGGGAAUGGCAGUGGAUACUGGAAAGCUAGAGUGCGGUAGAGGGUAGUGGAAUUCCCGGUGUAGCAGUGAAAUGCGUAGAGAUCGGGAGGAACACCAGUGGCGAAGGCGGCUACCUGGACCAGCACUGACACUGAGGCACGAAAGCGUGGGGAGCAAACAGG
rnacentral:rRNA from 1 species